rfam:Danio rerio chromosome 4, GRCz11 reference primary assembly.
GCAUUGUUGUUUUAGUGGUAGAAUUCUCGCCUGCCACGCGGGAGACCCGGGUCCGAUUCCCGGCCAAUGCA